GACGAACGCUGGCGGCGUGCCUAAUACAUGCCAGUAGAACGCUGAAGGAGGAGCUUGCUUCUCUGGAUGAGUUGCGAACGGGUGAGUAACGCGUAGGUAACCUGCCUGGUAGCGGGGGAUAACUAUUGGAAACGAUAGCUAAUACCGCAUAAGAGUAGAUGUUGCAUGACAUUUGCUUAAAAGGUGCAAUUGCAUCACUACCAGAUGGACCUGCGUUGUAUUAGCUAGUUGGAGGGGUAACGGCUUACCAAGGCGACGAUACAUAGCCGACCUGAGAGGGUGAUCGGCCACACUGGGACUGAGACACGGCCCAGACUCCUACGGGAGGCAGCAGUAGGGAAUCUUCGGCAAUGGACGGAAGUCUGACCGAGCAACGCCGCGUGAGUGAAGAAGGUUUUCGGAUCGUAAAGCUCUGUUGUAAGAGAAGAACGAGUGUGAGAGUGGAAAGUUCACACUGUGACGGUAUCUUACCAGAAAGGGACGGCUAACUACGUG
rnacentral:rRNA from 1 species